rnacentral:rRNA from 1 species
UACGGAGGGUGCGAGCGUUGUCCGGAAUCACUGGGCGUAAAGGGCGCGUAGGUGGCCCGUUAAGUGGCUGGUGAAAGCCCCCGGCUCAACUGGGGAGGGUCAUUCGAUACUGAUCGACUCGAAGGCAGGAGAGGGUAGUGGAAUUCCUGGUGUAGCGGUGGAAUGCGCAGAUAUCAGGAAGAACACCCGUGGCGAAGGCGGCGUCUCUGGGAACGCAACUGACGCUGAGACGCGAAAGCGUGGGGAGGCGAACAGG